CUAUAUUCAAGCCUGUUUUAGAGAUCAAAACACAAGAUUUGAUAUAUUUAAAUGAGAUCAAAACUCAUUUUCAAGGUAUAUUUAAUACUCAAUUCUACAGUUAACUCCUAUAGCUACACUCUCAAUCCACUAUUGAAAGCCUCCCUAGCCUCUAAACUGCUUCCAUGCUCCCUUUUUCUGGGUUCAUUUCUCCUAGAUAUUUAACUACAUUCCUCUUUCCUUUUGUGAAGAUUACCCUCAAUACCAUGGAAAGCAGGAUACACCCUCAUCUUUUCUUUGCUAGAGAGGUAUUGAAUAUUGAUGGCAUAACUAGUGGGUUUAACUUUCAGGUAAUAUUUGUUUUUUAAGGAAUUACGUGAUCCUUGGGCACACUCCUCACUGGGUCCUCUUCCUUUUGAUGGGCAGCUUGGUAUCUUGAAUGAUACUCAAUCCCAAGUACAUACAACAUACUGGCAUAUCUAUGAGCAAUCCUCCACGAAUCUGAUUAUGUGACCAAGCUAAAGCAGGCCCCAAUUGCGAUGUUUAGGCAGCUGAACUGUCUAGGCAGGCCUCAAUUACAACCAAGCUAAAGCAAGCCCCAGUAGCUCUCAAACUAUAGUUAACAUGUCUUUUAUUCUCUAGUUUGUGAUUGUUGUAGAUGAUGAAAAUGGUGAUGAAGAAGGAGAUCUUAUCAUGGAAGAAUCUCUUACAAGUUUGAAGUCAUUUUCUUAAGGGGAAAUCUUCAAUUGAAAGAUUUUAAUAUAAAAAAAAGCAGUAGGUGGGGUCUCUAGGAGAGCCGUUCAAAGGACUUUCUAGACUAUUGUAACUGAAAAUUUCCUUGAAAUUCAUCUCUUUUGGGCCAGGAAAGGGACUUGCUGUAUACCUAAUCAAGGUACUUUUGGUCCAUCCAUUUCGGCCAUCAGUGUCACUCUAGAUUUCAUACUGACUGUUAGAAGUCCGCCAGGUUGGGGAAAGAAAAGCAAGACUAGUUUGAUCAUUGGGAUUGUAGUUGGUGUUGGCACUCUGAGCUUUAUAUCCAUUUUUGUAGUUUUUAUCUGGAGAUGCAGGAGAAGGGGUAUUGAUGAAGAUGAAGAGUGUCUAAUCAUGGCUGCCAAAGCAAACAGUUUCAGUUAUUUUGAACUAAGGGCUGUAACAAAGGACUUCAGUCCGGCAAAUAAGUUGGGAAAGGGAGGAUUUGGGCCCAUUUAUAAGGUACCUUUUUGUGUUUGAUCUGAAAUAAAAAAGAAACGGAAAUUUAAGAACUAAGGAUGUGUUCGGAAGUUUCCACUUUUGUCAGUAAAACGGGUUUGGCUCAAAUCACAAAUGAGAAA